rnacentral:tRNA from 1 species
GCGGAUGUAGAAAAAAGGUAACCUCAUUAGUUUUCCAAACUAAAUAUUACGGGUUCGAAUCCCGCCAUCCGCU